CUCAGCCCAGCACUCAGGAAAGCAGGGCCUGGGAGGUGGGAAGAACACGACGUGGGAGAGCUGACCAUCACCACGGCCGCUCUGCAUGGGUGCCCAGGCCAGAAGAAUGCUCCUCCUGCCUGCUGCUGUGAGGAACCAUGUCCUGGAACCUGGCUCAGUGUGAGGGUACCCACCGAUCUUACUCCAGACCAACAGCAGGUCACCUGGCUGGCACUGGAAGCCCUAGGACUCUGGCCACGUGGGGCAGGGUACCACCAAGAUCCUUCAGUCUGAGCUCAGCGCGUGUCCCAUCUCCACACUUACUGUGCACCCGGAUCACGGCCUCCAGAGAGCGGAUGGCAUUGAGGUUGGGUUUCUGUUUCCAGCCUUCUUCUGAAAGGGGAUCCACCUAUAGAAAACAGUACAUCAGCCACCAGUCUCAGGGACCCACAGGCCCAGCUCACUCCCACCCCAGGGGCCCCGGCCUGCUUGCCACAAGCACACUCUACCUAGGCCAGGAGACGCUGCCCAGACCUAACUUGGAACAGAGGCUUCCGCUUCGCCUACCUUGUUUCAGGCCUGGCCACUCCCACCCUGUCCCACCCCAUCUGCCUGCUCUUUGGGUAGUCCUGGGAGAGCCAGGCUAACCUGCCUGACAGAAACACGGAUAGGGGAGGGAGAUGGCUCACCUUGUUACCCAGAAGAGCAGCCACACAGGCCUCAGAGGCGUCGCAGAUGGCUGUGAGGUCAUGGCCACCCUCCAAGGCCAGCACCACUGCACCUCCUGCCAGGUUCAUCAGUUGCUGCGUCAUGUACCCAAAACCUAGAGGUUGUGUGGGGAGAAAUGGGAGGGGCGGGAGUGGAGAGGUGACCCCGUUCCCUACCCCUGUGGCUUCCCUGCUUGCUUCCUCCCUAAUAAAGAAUGACUCACAUGGAUCAA